UGCAAAGCCAACUCCACCGCGCCGCGCGUGCUUGCACAGUCGUCGCACGCCAUGUGCACCAUUGAGCCGCGACCGCCUGUAAGAAGGGGCUCGAGCUACCCCUCGACGCCGUGCAUCUUCCCGAGCUGAGCCACCACCAGUCCUCCGUCGUGAGCUGGUUCGCCGCGGCCGUCCGUCGUCUUGCCGUUGCAGCACCCCGGAAGGCCAGCCGAGCCAUAGGUAAGCGCCUCCUCCACCUCCGGAGUAUCCUCCACCAGCCCAUCAUCGUUUCCCUUGCUGUUUGAGCCGUCGUCGAGCCCAGUCCGCCAUGGCCGCACCUCCCACACAGCAGCUCGCCCGUCGACCCGUUCCUCAAAACCUCGCCCCAACCAGACCUGCUACAGGUUGGAGGCACUUCUCCCCUCUCCCCAGCAACCCCCCUCACCUCCCUUGUGGCUGGAUUUUGAACUCCCGAUGGUCGCCGUGAGGGAACAGAGAGAGAGGAAGAAGAUGAAGCCUUGUAUUCUCCGACCAGUACCAGUUUUAUAAUUUCACGCAUCUAAAAUAACACAGACAGAAGAGUAGCGUGUUGGCAAGCUACUACUUAGAUAAAUGCCAUUGCCAGUGUUCAAUUCCUAGUGUUGGUAUAUUUUUUCCAAAGUUUUUCUAAAAUCAAACCAUUCACAUUAUCAUUAUUAUUAUUAUUAUUUUCUAAAAAUUAAACUAUGCAUAUUUAUUAAAAAACACAAUGUACUCAUAUUUAUACUUGUUGUGUGAUUGCCUAUUGUACGCGUGCUCGUUGGCGACUGUUGGAGCUCGACCUCUUACGCUGACGGUGUUUGUUCCUAGGUGAGGAAAAACAUAAAAUUUGCUAGACUUAGGAGUGACAUGAAAUGAUACACCUAAUACUGAGGGAAUGAGAGAAACCUUUGGCUGAUGCCUUGAUGCAUGUUAAUUGCAUAAAUAUUUGAUACCUUGACACUUGGAUGAAACUGGACGGGAAUGAAACCAGAGCAGUAGGGUAAGUGUUGGUGCAUGCGCUACCAUGGUGGUAGACUUGAGACCGAGUUGUCAUGGUGACAUCUCGGGUUUACUAGUUUUGGUUGGUGGCUGCUCUGGUGAACCAUAAGGACUGUGUGUUGGGGUGCCAUCUCACCUAACUUAUUUCCAGUGCGACCACAUGAGCUUGUAUGGGCAAGCCUUAGCCUAAUCCCACUGGCUGGCCUGGUAGUCGUCCGAGGUGGAUAUGUUUUGGGUUGGGGACCCGAGCGGUCAGAACCCAGGGUUUGUGGGCGGCUAGGCGAGGUUGAGCCAUGACUGGGUGUUGGCUAUGAUAGAGUCGUCUUGGGACGGUGAUGUGCGUGUGGCACUACACGACGGUUGAUCUUUAGCGACCCUUAUUAGGGACCGACGGUUGGUCGCUAAAAGUUAUGGACCGACGAUUGGUCGCUAAAUACGUUUAUAGCGACGGUCUGUGGGUCACUAAAAGUCUAGAAAUUUAACGACUUAUGGUCGGUCGCUAUAGGGGUAAGUGUGUGACUGAUGGUGGGUCGCUAUAGAGGUACGUGAUUUUUGUGUUUCUUAUUUACUCACCAAAGCCCAUCUAAAGGCCUACUAAACAAACGACCGUGUGGAACCGGCUGGGGAAAACUAUUUCGUGGCGGCUAGGGUUUAACAAAUGCCAACCACGCUGCUUUGCUAGACCGCCGCCGAUAUCUACGGUCGGAUUAGGUUCGGUGCCCUCUUCGCCUCUGUCUCCCGAGGUCUCCCUGCGGCGGCGGUCACCGUAGUGGACUCCGGCCACCCCCACGACAACCGGCAAAAGGGUACGGGAGUGUGAACUAUGCCGUGCAAAGACCUGCGCUUCACUGCCUUUGCCCACACCUCAGGCUAGAAAAUGGUUCCUGAUUCCGUCAAUAACCAAGAAUUCCUAUGAAGCUACACUCAUUCAUUUCACAAUUGCUCAUACGACUGUUCUGCUCCUCUUUAGAAUUGUUCUACGCAUCUCUAUGUAUGCUCCAAGCACUAUCUCUUUAAUCUACGACAAGAAUUUCAUAGCAGCUUUGACUACUAUUGAAGUUGAUCUUUUUACUAGUGUGGUCUGCUUAGCAGUAGGUAGCACUACAACUAGCAAUGUAUGGAUGAAUUAAAGGAAGUGAAGAAGGCAGACAAUCUUACAUAAACUCUACAUCUUAAAACUGCCAUGAUUGGCAAAGAAGCUGGAUGCAUCCUUUGCAUUGGUGUAUUCUUAUCACCAAGCAGUAACGUGAAGCAAGUCCUGACCAGAUUGAAGCUCUGUAUCAGUACGCCAAAUUUCAGUUUGAGUGUGGUAACUACUCAGGGGCUGCUGAUUACCUUUACCAGUAUCGUGCUUUGUGCACAAACAGUGAGCGAAAUGUGAGUGCCGUCUGGGGAAAGCUGGCAGCAGAAAUCCUAAUGCAGAACUGGGACGUAGCUUUGGAGGAACUCAACCGCUUGAAGGAAAUAAUUGAUUCAAAGAACUUCUCAUCACCUCUGAAUCAGCUCUAGAACAGGAUAUGGCUGAUGCAUUGGGCUCUGUUCAUCUUCUUUAACCAUGAAAAUGGUAGAAAUGGGAUCAUUGAUCUGUUCUUCCAGGACAGGUACUUGAAUGCUAUACAGACAAAUGCACACCAUCUUAUUAGGUAUCUAGCUACUGCAGUUGUUGUCAACAAAAGGAGAAGGAAUAUGCUUGAAGAGUUGAUUAAGGUCAUUCAACAGGAGCACCAUAGCUACAAGGAUCCCGUAACUGAAUUUCUGGAAUGCUUAUAUGUAAACUAUGAUUUUGAUGGUGCUCAACAGAAACUCAUAGAGUGUGAGCAGGUAACUUUGAGGUUGUUUUUCCUGCAAUUUUCAAGGCCUCAAUUUUGUUAUUCACGUGUGUGCUUCUUGUAUUAUGGAAAAAGCCUGAAAGACAACACAUCCUUUUUUUGUGUGCAAAACAUCCUUCUGUAAAAUGAUCCUCAACCGUCAAUUCUUUUAAAUGUUCCCUAGUAAAAUGAUUUAUUCUUGAUGGUUCAAAAGUUUCCCUAUUCCUUGGAUGUAUCAUAUGCAUCGGGGAUGUCAUAUUGAAGAAUCAGUAUAAUAAUAUGGACUAUUUGGAGUGGUCUUUAAAUGAGCUUGGAUGUUGGUGCAUAAGGCUGCAACACCGUCUAGUGGAGGGUUCUGGACAAAGAAAGCUUGUACCUUAAAACAGGAGGAUACAAGAAGCUGGAGUGGUUGUCUGAAGGCUUUUGAACUGCUUGAAGCAUUAGUGUAGCUUUGGUGCUUUUGUGACUGAUCAACUCUGGAGCAGCUAGAGUGAUGUAGUUGUGGGCUUUUGAACAAUAGCUGGAGUGAUAUGAAACAUUAGUGAUGUAGUUGUGGGCUUUUGAACUGCUUCAAGCUGGAGUGAUGUCGUUGUGGUGCUUUUGUGACUGAUCUAGUCGUGAAUGAUAUUAUAAUUGUGAUGCUUUUGUGUUUA